CAAUAUAUUUAUUAUAAAUAAACAUGAAUACUAAAUCUUUAAAAAAUAAUAAAUUCUCAUAUUUAACUAUUAACAUAUAUAAGAUAUAAGCUUGGCUCUGACUUUAAGUAUGAUAAAGAACUAAAAAAUACACAUGGUUUUUAUAGAAAGAGGCGAGGCAAAGAGAGAACAUCUAUGGUUAAAAAAAUAAUAAUUGUUUUUUCUUUUCGGUAUUAUAGAAUUAAAUGAUAUUUUGAGAUGUCCCGCUAACACCAGUGUUGAAGGUUAAAAGAAAAGUGUAAACUUGUAUUAAUUUAGUUCAUAAGAUCUGGUUAACUUGGUGCCAGCAUCCGCGGUUAAACCAAGAAGAUUAAGUCAUACAUGUUCGGUAAAAAGAUAGUUAGGUUUUAGCAAAUAGUCUUUUUAAUUAUUAUUAAGAAGUAAAAUUCGUAAAUGAUAUAGAAAUUUAAUUAAGACUCUAAUACUGAAGCUAUGAAACCCUUGAGGGAAACUGGGAUUAGAUACCCCACUAUUCUAGGAAAUAAAUUAAUAUUCUUUACCAGAGUACUAUGAAUUUAUAAUAUUUAAAACUCAAAGAGCUUGGCGGUGUUUUAGACUUUUUAGGGGAACCUGUCUCAUAAUCGACAAUCCACGUAAAACCUGACCUUUAUUUGCUUUCAGUUUGUAUACCGUCGUCGUCAGGUAACUUUUAAGAAGAUAGAAGUUAGCAAAAGAAUUUUAGAUAAAUUCUUACGUCAGAUCAAGGUGCAGCUUACAUAAAGGGAGGGAUGGGUUACAAUUAUAAGAAUUAUAAUUACCAAGUAAUAAUCUUAAAUAAUAAUUACAAAGGAGGACUUAAAAGUAAAAUAGAAUAUAUAAAUAUAUUGAAUUAAGCUCUGAAACGUGCACACAUCGCCCGUCGCUCUCGUUGAAAAACGAGAUAAGUCGUAACAUAGCAGGGGUAAUGGAAAUUGCCCCUAAAU
rnacentral:ncRNA from 1 species